GACGAACGCUGGCGGCGUGCUUAACACAUGCAAGUCGAGCGGAAAGGCCCUGCUUUUGUGGGGUGCUCGAGUGGCGAACGGGUGAGUAACACGUGAGUAACCUGCCCUUGACUUUGGGAUAACUUCAGGAAACUGGGGCUAAUACCGGAUAGGAGCUCCUGCUGCAUGGUGGGGGUUGGAAAGUUUCGGCGGUUGGGGAUGGACUCGCGGCUUAUCAGCUUGUUGGUGGGGGAGUGGCUUACCAAGGCUUUGACGGGUAGCCGGCCUGAGAGGGUGACCGGCCACAUGGGGACUGAGAUACGGCCCAGACUCCUACGGGAGGCAGCAGUGGGGAAUAUUGCACAAUGGGCGGAAGCCCGAGGCAGCAACGCCGCGUGCGGGAUGACGGCCUUCGGGUUGUAAACCGCUUUCGCCUGUGACGAAGCGUGAGUGACGGUAAUGGGUAAAGAAGCACCGGCUAACUACGUG
rnacentral:rRNA from 1 species